rnacentral:rRNA from 1 species
UACGAACUGUGCGAACGUUAUUCGGAAUCACUGGGCUUACAGGGUGCGUAGGCGGCUCAACAAGUCAGGUGUGAAAGCCCCCGGCUCAACCGGGGAACUGCGCUUGAAACUGUUAGGCUCGAGUCAGCUAGAGGUACACGGAACUUCCAGUGGAGCGGUGAAAUGUGUUGAUAUUGGAAGGAACACCGGAGGCGAAAGCGGUGUACUGGGGCUGGUCUGACGCUGAGGCACGGAAAGCCAGGGGAGCGAACGGG